rnacentral:lncRNA from 1 species
AACUGCAAUCUGCUGCUACUACUCAACCAUUGGGGUAUUGAACCUGUUAGCCUACAAUUUGCAAUGAUGAGAACCUUCAAUCUUUCAAAAUGAAGGGUUGGAUCAGCAGGCAAUUCUUCGUCACGGAAAUUCAAGGUGAGAACCAAAGUAGUUAGGUUCUGGCAAUGCUGUAGGAUUUUAAGGGCAGAUGAAAUAUUGGAAAUGCUUGAAUUUGACAGUGAGAGGUAAGAGAGGCUAUGAAAAUUCUUGAAGCUUUCUGGUAUUUGGCCACUAAAGUUGUUCCGGGCAAUAUUUAUGUUAUUCAGAUGCCGACAAGAGGGAAGAUUGGACGGAAUAGGCCCAUCAAACCGAUUGGAACCUAGAUCAAUAGAGGCCAAACUAGUCAUUGCUGAACAAUUAAGAUCAAUUGAACCCUCCAAUGAAUUGUUCCUCGCAUUAAUCAAAGAGAGAGUCGGGGAACUCGCCAAGGAAGCGGGUAUCUGACCACUAAAAUUAUUCGAAUGAGCAACAAAAUACUGUAAUCUUCCAAGGCUGUCGAAAACAUCUGGGAUAGUUCCUGAAAACCCAUUAGUCGAGAUAUCCAAGCGAACAAGGUUAAUGAGGUUACCAAUUUCUUUGCUAAGCUGCCCGGAAAGCUUGUUAUCUUGAAUGUUCAGUCGGGUUAGCUUUUGCAGGCGAAAUAUACCUUCGGGUACACCGCCUGUAAAAGCAUUCAUGCCCAGACAGAGGUCCUCCAACGAACUACAAUUGCCAAGGCCUGGUGGGAGAUCACCAGUGAAGUAGUUCACAGCCAAUUUCAGUGCCCGAAGCUGAGUAGAAUUGUUACAGAUGCUAGGUGGAAGAGAACCAUUCAAAAAGUUUUGAGAAAUUUCAAGGAACUGGAUUGAAGGUAAAUCAAUAUCGGCUGGAAUGGGGCCAGAGAAGUCAUUAGAGCUCAAGUCUAACAGCUCCAAAUUUGGCAAAUGGAAAAGUGGAAUCGGAAGCGAGUGUUGGAGGAAAUUGUGAGAGAGAUUGAGGGUUCUAAGCUGGUCCAACAUGCCUAAAGAUUCAGAGAGGUUGCCAGCUAGUCUUUUCUUUGGAAGCUCCAACUUAACCACUCUAUAGGUAUCUAUAGAGGAAUCGUUCAAUCCAAGAGAGGAUGAAGAGUUGCAAGUGAUGCCUGCCCACUCACAGCAAUUAGAUGAUAAAUUGUUCCCCCACCCUUCAAUCACAGUUUCUAUGCCUUUCAUGAAAUCCUCCAAUGCUUUCAAAUCAUUUGGAUUGCAUGUCAGGUUCUGAGAGCUCGAAACCUGAGCUUGGAAGCAAAACCCAAUAACAAUGAUGACCAACCAGAAGUCUUGAGCACCCAUAUCAGAGAAACACACCCACAGGGGUACAGAUAGAAGAAAAGAGAAGAAUAGAUCAAGAAUGUACAAUCAAGUAGCAGCACAACCCUUGUCAAGAACCAUGCUUUAUGAACUGGGUUUUCUUGUUUCAAACAUUAUGACUGAGGACUGAAAGCAAAUAGAAGAAAACAAAAGAAAAUUAAGCAAAAUUAAACAAUGGGGUUAUCUUGUAUGUGAAGCAGGAAAGCAAAACAAAAUGAGGAGCAAAAAGAAAAAGACUGACCUGCCAGAUAGAGGAAUGGAAGAAAGAAGGGAAAAUGGCUGGCUUCGUGUCUUUGACUUCAAAACACGUUUUCUGCUAUGAAUCAAUGAAUUCAUGUGCCAAUGGAUGAAAGCUUUGCUCCUCUUUUUCACUUCCAGUUCUCACAGAUUUUAUUUUAUUUUGGUUGCAAGAUUUUCUUUUCAAUUUAGGCUGCAAGGCUUCUUCUGUUGUCAGUAUUUUUAUGAGAAAUCUGGUAAAGUGGAAACCGGGGGACUGUAACAUGGUGACCGGCAAAAGCCGGUCAGUGGCAAUGAAAAUGAGGCUCGCUUGGAUGAGAUAUGGACAGCAAGAGAGGCAUAAAGUCAACUACUGGGUGGCGACACGUGCACUCAGUCUUAUAAACUGCGCGGUUUCGGCCGACGCCGACUUCAUAAAAUUUGACAGGUUGCGGUUGCCUCAAUUUAAUACCAUGAUCCUUUUUUCUUUUUUUUUUGUAUUUUUCUUUCUUUAGUAAUUAUUUUUCUCAAUACAACUUACAAGCAAUAAUCUUAACUAACAAAAAAAGACUCGAACUUAGGUUUAAGAAAACGAACUCAUUCCUUUAGUCAUUAGAAUAGGGGAAAAAAAAAAGUUGGAAAUCAACCAACGGUUCGACAUUGAACAAGAAGUGGAAAAUUAAGAAAAUAGGGAAAUUAUCAUGACUUAAAUUAAGAUCUGUACGAUUUGCAAGAAUUUAGAUAGAGACAUUUAGAAAGCUUGAUGGUUGAAUUAGGAUUGGGUUUCGAUUUUCAAUAAUGUGACAAAUGAUGUAUACAAUAAAUAUCUACUAAAAUUUAUUUGAUUAAUUAACAUAUCGUGUGCAUAUAUCACUUAGAGUAUUCACAAUGAUGCUCUCUAUUUCUUAGCUAAAAUUUAGCUAAAAAUAUAAGAAAGUUAUUUUAGAAGCUCUCUAAAAAAUUUCAUCUCCAACCAUACUCCAUAAUUUGAAGAGUCAUAAAUGCUAUAACUCUUUUUUGAUUGGUCUAUCUCUAUUAAAAAAUAAAAUAAAAAAUAGUUAGCAUUAAAUAAAGGUUUGAAAUACUCAUUUAAUAAAGCAGCAUUAAAUUAUAGGGAGCCAAGCAUGGUUGGAGUUGCAUUUUUACAAUUCCUUCCUAAAAUUUGUCUAAGGAGGUGGUUUAGAGAGCUCAUUGUAGAUGCUCUUACUAAAUUAUGUGGUACUGUUUGCAAAGGACUCACUAGUGUAGUGGUUUGAAGUAUUUACUCUUUCAGGCAAGGUCCUGGGUUCGAGUCCUAGCAUCCGUGUAGUGUGUGUGAAUUUAGUAUGCUAUCGCCAUUCUUAAUAGGAAAGGUUCUAAAAAAAAAAAAAAAUUUAUGCGAUACUGCUACAAAAAUAUAAUCAAAUUAACAUUUUUCUUUUCCAAACUUGAAAUUUAUUGAAUAUUUUAUUUUCAUUUCGUGGUAAGUUCAGGUGAAUGACUCAGUAAAUUUAUUUGCACUAGAGAACUCCAACGUCAACCAACCCUCGUCCACCGAAAGGAAUUCGGGGACAAGUUGAGAAAUAAAUCGAAUCCCCGUGCACAGACCGCUGUUGAAGACUUUGCUCUGUGUAUUCCAAUAUUGAUUAUUUAUUUCAAUUUUUAAUGAAUUUAUGGUCCUCACUUUCUCUUAUUUUUGUUUCACGGUAUUCUCCUCAUAUAUAAUAUUUACGAGUAAUAUAUAUUCAAUUGAAUUUCAAUUUAAUAUUGGAAACGCAUUAAGCAGAAGAACGUUAUAAAGGUAAACCAAGAAGCAUAUAUGAUUGCUUUAGCAAGAAAAUGGAUGGUUUUUUGUUUCUUUUUCACAUAGUGAUAUUCUAAUUACUCUAAUGUACAUGAAGGGGAUCGAACUCUUGUUACUUUAAUUAGUACUAUUAGAUAUUUACAAAUUUUAUUUUAUGUAGAUGUCUAUAUAUUAUUAUCGUGUGAACAUCAUGUAUUUUUUACUAUCUUUCUUUAUUUUCCUGACGUUCCUACAAUAAUAACAUAUAGACGUCUAUAUAUAGGAGAAAAACUGUAGAUAUAUAAAUAGAUAAUAAUAUGAAGAUGAUGGCGUGGUGAGCCGGAAAUUUGAGACUUUAUAAUGUUGGUAAACCAAGUCCGCAAUAAUCAGAAUAGUCAAAUACGUAUGUCUCAUAUCAAGAAGACUCUCAUCAACUCUCAAAUCUCAAUAUUCUCAACAAAAUAUAAACAACUAAACACGACCAAAAACAAGAACAUAAAAACAAAGAAAUACAAAGAAACAAGGGUCAAAGAUGAACAGCAGGGUAGGGCCAUAUGCAUGGACUAGGACGUUUUAGGGUUCACAUAGGCAGGCGGGCAGGGGUCCAGAGAUCUCGUUGUGGGGCAUAUAUGUUACGUACACAGACACAAUACAACAUCAUUCACAGAAAACGUAAGUAGGACUAAAACAUCUCAUUCUCAGUCAUCCGUGUCGACUUUCUUAAGCAUGAAAAUGAAUCGGGUUUUAGCAUUUCGGGUCAGGUCAAGGCCGCAGGGUUAGGUUAGGUCUAACUAAUUUUCAUAUAGCUUUUUUUAAAAAAAAAUUGUGGGAUCUACUACAAUAUGAAGGACUGAGUCAGUAGCACAUCACGUGUAUCACACUAAAGAAAAAGAAGAUGAAUGAGAAAGGUAUACGUGACCAUUUGAUCUUGAUGAGUGAAUGUUCAUUAUCUUUUCACCAACAAAAGGAGAAAAUUAAAUACAAAAAAAACAGAUAUUUUUGAAGAAUGAAAUAUGUCACAUGUACUAUCUUAUCCUAAAGGUUAGCCUUUCAAUAGACAAAUACGGUUUGCAAGUUGCCUGUAAAUCUAAUUCUUUAUUUUUAUUUUUUAACUUCAAAAUGUUAAUUAAACUAUCGAACUAAUUAAAUCUCACUUUUUUAAAAUAAUUUAAUUUAAUUUUGCAUGUUUGAUAGAUUUGGUGAAUGACUACGGACAUGAUAAAUGAGAAUUAUGGUACAUAGAUUAUAUAGUAAGGUGGAAAUAUGCUCAAAGUCAAUUAAUGUUGAACUGGGCAAAAAAUUGAGGGUUGUCCCUAGGACGGCCUAGGCAGAGGAAGCAUAUUUUGUGGACUUUUAACCCAACAUGGAAACUCUAGCUCUUUUUUUUUGGGUAAAUAGCAGGACAUGUCCCAAUAUUUGAAGGGUGUGAUUAAUUCUCGCUCUGGGUUCUGCUUGCCCCUGACCACAAAUUGCUCCCAACUGAUUUCAAAUCUCUGCCAUCGAGGCGCAAAGCCAUAUAAUUUACCAACCGCACCACACGUUGUGGUUUCAAACCCCUAAACCCUCUAGCUCUUCCUUCAAAUGUGAAUGUGAUACGCUACAAACCUUUGCCCUAUAAUUACUUUAUUAGGAGGAGGAGGAUUAAUCCAAGUACAACUUGGGUUACUUUUCAAUUAAUAAUGCGCAACCUAUCAAAAUAGGAUAGGUACGUGUUUGACUUGAAACAACUUCAUCCAAAAGUAAGAAAAUAUAUAUUCACUAACUCAUAAUUAACAAACACUAGUAAGUAAAUGGAAACAAAUUAAUAGCAACAUCCACAUCCCAAUCCCAUAUACCUUGCUUGAUUGGAUAAUACAUAUAUCACAUUGUGCAAAAGUUGAGCCACUUCAAAUUGCCUCCCACUAUUGGCCGACCACAUUCAUUCGACACGUGGCGUUUCGUUAAAUCUAGUGGCAACGGAUCAUUUCCAAAUAUAUGUUAGCUAGUAGCAUCAUUAUGUUGAUAGCUAGUUAUACUUAUACAUCAUGGAGUUAUAGCAACCAUGUAAUUAAGAAUAAUAAUCAUGGUGUUAUAGAUAGUGGGUUUCGAGUAUAAUCAUGGUGUCAUGCAUCAUAUCCAUAUACUAGUGCUAGAUAAUACAGAAGAUGCAUUUAUGUUACGUGGAAUCUACGUCUUUGGAAAAAUUAAUGUUAAUUAAUCUCAUUUUGAGAAAAACAUGAUUAGGUUUUCACUUUAAAUAACUAGUGCCUUACACGUUUCAACUAAUUGCAUUGCAUUGGUUAUCAUUAAGUAGUUAGCAAGCAAAUCGAUCAUGAAUAUAUGAUAUGUUUAGGUAUGGGCCUUGGCUUGAUGAGAGCCCAUGUCCAUCCAAACUUGAAAUUAAACAAGCCCGCCUAACCUUGAAAGACCGAGCAAGCAUAACGGCUACAUGUUUUGCUUUUAGCUAGGCGUACGAAUUGGUCUUUAAAAGGUCCAUACGUAUCUAUCUAUCCCAAUGAAACAUGUAAUUCCAAAUACAAAUCCAACGGCCAUUCCGACAAUCAUUCCUGUAUAUUUGUUUGAUUCUCUGGGUGACCAUGGUCCGAGAGAAGGAUCAUCAUCAGGAAGCUCGGGUGGACAGGGGAGAAUGAGGCCGCCGCAGAGACUAUUAUUCCCUCCUUCAAAGCUUGAACUUGAGAAGGUCCAGAACUGGCCUCCUCCAGGGAUCAUCCCAUGUAAUUCAUUGUCUGCAACAUUAAACUUUGACAGAAAGCUCAGAUUAACCAACGAAGGCGGUAUUAUCCCCGAAAGCCUGUUACCAGACAUAUCCAGAGUCUCUAAGCUGAUCAUCCCAGAUAAACUACUCGGAAUUGGUCCCGAUAGAUUGUUGCAUUUGAGAUCCAACACAUGAAGCAAUCUCAGUUUCCCAAACUCUGGCCAGAUUGGUCCACUCAGAUUAUUCUUACUAAGCUCCAGUGUAGGUGGAAAGCUUCGAGCUUGAUUAUACUGCAGUCCUUGUGCAUUUACAUUCCUUUUCAUGAAAAUAGGGAAAUCAGGGGAAGGUUCCUCGAUUGACAUCCUCCUAUCAAUGAGGCUCCUUAGUCCAGUUAUGCUUCUCGGGAUUUCCCCACUAAAAGAAUUGUUAGAUAGGUCCAAGUAGAAGAGAUUGCUAAAAUUGCCAAACCAGACUGGAAUUGUUCCUUCCAAGCGAUUCCAUGACAAAUCCAGCAAUUGCAAUCUGCUGCUACUACUCAACCAUUGGGGUAUUGAACCUGUUAGCCUACAAUUUGCAAUGAUGAGAACCUUCAACCUUUCAAAAUGAAGGGUUGGAUCAGCAGGCAAUUCUUCGUCACGGAAAUUCAAGGUGAGAACCAAAGUAGUUAGGUUCUGGCAAUGCUGUAAGAUUUUAAGGGCAGAUGAAAUAUUGGAAGUGCUGGAAUUUGACACAGAGAGGUAAGAGAGGCUAUGAAAAUUCUUGAAGCUUUCUGGUAUUUGGCCACUAAAGUUGUUC